ACCUAAUACAAAAAAAGAACAAGAUGGAUUUUAUUACAAAGGGAAAUUACAGAGGAUAACUCCAAACAAACAAGGCAGCUGGGCAGGAAUAGGUCAGAUCUGGAGAAGGUGGAUGAUUUCAGGAGUUAAUAUAUCCACUUGGGAGCAGCCACAGAAGGAGGCAUGCAGGGCAACAGAGGGUGCCAUUGUGCUAAUCAUGCAAGCACUGGUGAGGGUGGUUUUCCUCUGUAGGCUCCGAGAUCUAGUAGAUAAAACAGUCAGGUAUAUUUAUUUAUAAAUCUCCAAGAAGUUGUGUUUGCGAGGCAGCAUUGCCAAUGCAAGCAGGAGGGUAUUGUGCAUGUUUUCUUGUAUAUAUAUAUCUAUGUAUAUAUUAAUACACAUUUUUGAAGGGAGUGCUUAAAUGCAGAAAAGCACACUUCCUAGGAGAACUAUAGUAAAUGACUUAAGCACACUUUCCUUCCUAGCUUCAUUUGCAGUCCAUCCACUGAUCUGUUGAUCUGGCAAUCUGCAUGCUCCCUGUUAAGUCUCUUCCCCACUCCCCAGUGCUUUGGCAUUGGAAUAUUUCCCUACACAUCUACUCUGGCUCGUGGUCCAGCAGAUCAAAGCACUCAGUCACUGGCAGCAUUUGUUUAUAGUAAAAAAUGCCAUAGCUUCAUAUCCAGAUUUAGCCCUCGCUUCUUAGUGCUGUAGAAAAGGGACAUUUUUAGAUACUCGAUGCUCAUUCCUAGCUCUCAAGUUAUCAGAAUUUAAAGUUGUAAUGUUCUUAUGAACCAAGAGGGCUAUUUUUGGUCAGAAGGAAGGCCUGUGACAGACCAAACAUAUUAAAGCCCAUUACUUUAUUAGAAGGAGGGUAAAAAAAAAUAGUCCUAAUUAAAUAUUUUUGAGCUCUCCUAAGCAUUCCUAAAAUAGCCAUUUGUGUAAGGGAAGGGGCAUAAGCAGAAUGCAUGACGAGGAGGAACAGUUUUCGAGGCACUCCUUUAGCUGCCUGCAUUAUUCAUACCACUUGCUAUGUGCCCAGCCCAAAGCCCGGCUGAUAAAAACCUCUUGCCCCUUCUGCCUUACCCAGAGGUCACAGCCAGGCACUUGUGAACGCAGCAGAAGACACUCGGUGAGUAAAAUCACUGAUGCCCUUUAAAUCACCCUAAAGCAGGCCGGGGUCUUAAAAGCUUAAGAGGAGAAGCUGAGCCGUACAAAUGUUGGUGUAAAAGCUCUGUUGUACAAACAGGAGCCGCGUUCCUAAGAUGCUGCCACCUUGGAUUUCACUAAAAACAACACCCCCCUUGCAACUGCCGAAUUAUUUAGACUGUGAAUUCUCAGGACAGGCAACCUUUAUUUUGAGUCUUGUGCUUUACAAAUCACUUACAUGUGGUGAAGCGCUCAUCCAGCCGGGCUCAGGGAAAGGUUUCUGCAGACUCAGGAGUCCUGCAGGCUCUAAAUCCUCUCUCCCACCAGAGCACAGGCUGAGGUACAUGUUGUGUUGUUAAAAUGCAAAUUUGAACACAAGUUUGGGUUUCUGCCUGUGUCUGAAAGGUAAUAUGGACUUAGAUCCCAUCACCUCUCUGUGGAAUAGGAACACCAGCAGUGUCCUAAGUGGAGGACAAUGUCAUGUUGGGCACUCAGAGGUUGCAGCAAUGAGAGCAGCUAAGCUUCUAACUAGCACUGGAGUUUUGUCACUGGAAGAUUUUUCUGAGCAGAAACGUGUGCUUACGAGACAAAGCUGUGUGCUAUACAAGUUGUCCCUUCUAUAUGACUGAUCUGGAAACAUCGGAUUCCCCUGAGUUUCACUUUGAAGGUGAAGAGGAUCAGGCCUGCAACAAAAAUCCCAUGAACAGAGAAACAGAAUUAUUAAAUGUGAUAUGGUCCAAGAAGGAUCCCAUAAUGGCAGUAGUUUGGAGGUAGGCCUACAGCUGCUGCUAAAGUGGGUCCCAAAGAAGGCCAAAAAGCUUCCAAACUUGAAGACAGCAUAUGUAGUUUGAACACAAACUAGAAAAAAUAACUUCCAAGCAAAGAAAACUCUGUGUGACUAAAUAAGAC